ACUGCUGCUAAUCUAUCGCCGCUGCUAAGCUAUCUAUUGCUGCAAGCUAUCCCUCACUGCCAACCUAUCUAUUGCUGCAAGCUAUCCCUCGCUGCUAAGCUAUCCCUCGCUGCUAAGCUAUCCCUCGCUGCUAAGCUAUCCCUCGCUGGCUAAGCUAUCCCUCACUGGCUAUCCCUCACUGCUAAGCUAUCCCUCACUACUAAGCUAUCUAUCGCUGCUAAUCUAUCGCUGCCAACCUAUCUAUCGCUGUCAACCUAUCUAUCGCUGCCAAUUUAUCUACCACUGCCAAUCUAUCUAUCGCUGCUAAUCUAUCGCUACUGUCAAUCUAUCUAUCGCUGCUAAUCUAUCUAUUGCUGCUAAUCUAUCGCUGCUAAUCUAUCACUGCUAAUUUAUUGCUGCUGCCAAUCUAUCUAUCACUGCUAAUCUAUUGCUGCUAAUCUAUCACUGCUAAUCUAUUGCUGCUAAUCUAUCGCUGCUAAUCUAUCGCUGCUAAUCUAUCGUGCUAAUCUAUCGCUGCCAACCUAUCUACCGCGGUGAAUCUAUCUAUUGCUGUCAAUCAACUUACCUACCACUGCCAACCUAUCUAUCGCUGCCAAUCUAUCGCUGCCAAUCUAUCGCUGCCAAUCUAUCGCUGCCAAUCUAUCGCUGCCAAUCUAUCGCUGCCAACCUAUCUACUGCAGUGAAUCUAUCUAUCACUAUCAUUACUAGUUCAAAAUAGAACUAGAGCAUAAAUACACUAAACUUCUUUUGAUAGAUAAUGAUUUUUGAUAACACUCAUAGCAUUAUAUCAUCUAUAUAGGGUAAAUCAUGGUCCCAUUUGGUCCCAUUUUACAAAAUGAGAUCAAAUGGGAUCAGAAUCAGUAAUUUAUAAGAAGAACAUGAUCUGGGACUAGAUUUAUAAUAUAAACAGUGUAAAGUGACUAAUUUAAUAAACACUAUCCCUUCAUCUGACCGCC
rnacentral:sRNA from 1 species